ACUGCAAAACAGGCUACCGCAGGUAUGUAAAUACAUGAGGAAAGUCCGGGCAACACAGAGCACCAUACUUCCUAACGGGAAGGAUUUUGCAGCAAUGCAAAAGCCAGCCAGUGCCACAGAAAACAAACCGCCAUGCAGUAAUGCGUGGUAAGGGUGAAAAGGUGGGGUAAGAGCCCACCGCUUCGUUGGCGACAACGGAGGCAGGGUAAACCUUAUGGGUUGAAAGGUCAAAUAAAUUCUGAGUAUGGAGCUGCUCGCUCCUGUGGCUGUUUCGGCAGCUCCUCAGAAAGGGUAGACUGAUAGAACCCUGCAGUGAUGCAGGGUCCAGAUAAAUGGUAGCUAUACCCGCUUACAAGCGGAUGAAACAGAACCCGGCUUAUCGUUUUGCAACAAGA
rnacentral:RNase_P_RNA from 1 species